GACGAACGCUGGCGGCGUGCUUAACACAUGCAAGUCGAGCGAUGAAGCACCUUCGGGUGUGAAUUAGCGGCGAACGGGUGAGGAACACGUGAGAAAUCUGCCUUCAACACUGGGAUAGCUCCGGGAAACCGGGGCUAAUACCGGAUAUGAAACCUGCGGGCAUCCGCGGGUUUGGAAAGUUUUUCGGUUGAAGAUGAUCUCGCGGCCUAUCAGCUUGUUGGUGAGGUAAUGGCUCACCAAGGCGACGACGGGUAGCCGGCCUGAGAGGGCGACCGGCCACACUGGGACUGAGACACGGCCCAGACUCCUACGGGAGGCAGCAGUGGGGAAUAUUGGGCAAUGGAGGAAACUCUGACCCAGUGACGCCGCGUGCGGGAUGAAGGCCUUCGGGUUGUAAACCGCUUUCAGCAGGGAAGAAGCGAAAGUGACGGUACCUGCAGAAGAAGCACCGGCUAACUAUGUGCCAGCAGCCGCGGUAA
rnacentral:rRNA from 1 species